AACGAACGCUGGCGGCAGGCCUAACACAUGCAAGUCGAGCGAAGCCUUCGGGCUUAGCGGCGGACGGGUGAGUAACGCGUGGGAACGUGCCCUUUGGUACGGAAUAGCCCCGGGAAACUGGGAGUAAUACCGUAUGUGGUCGAGAGACGAAAGAUUUAUCGCCAAAGGAUCGGCCCGCGUUGGAUUAGGUAGUUGGUGGGGUAAUGGCCUACCAAGCCGACGAUCCAUAGCUGGUUUGAGAGGAUGAUCAGCCACACUGGGACUGAGACGCGGCCCAGACUCCUACGGGAUGCAGCAGUGGGGAAUCUUAGACAAUGGGGGAAACCCUGAUCUAGCCAUGCCGCGUGAUCGAUGAAGGCCUUAGGGUUGUAAAGAUCUUUCAGUGGGGAAGAUAAUGACUGUACCCACAGAAGAAGCCCCGGCUAACUCCGUGCCAGCAGCCGCCGUAAAAC
rnacentral:rRNA from 1 species